CCCCACUUCUGAAUGAAGAGGAUAAUAAAUGAAUCUAUCUCCUGAAUUGUGCCAUGUGUGAUAUUUUUUGGAAGGGAACAGUUCUUUCCAGCUUUCUAAGAGACCUUUCCCAAUAGUCACAAAACACACUCCCUUGCUAGUUUCUUUUGAGGGAAAAAUCAAGCAGUAUCUAAAACUUCUUAGUUUUUCCUUUUUUUCUUCCCAUAGUUUUUUGGGGAUUUGCUCCCAUUAUUUCAACAUAAGUCCCCUUAUUGAAAACAAAUCUCAGCCCUUAUGGGGAAAAGGGAGGAAUCAACAAAUUUACGAUCAUUUGAAUUUGGCUUCAUGUGUUGGUUUUUCUUUCUUAAGGGGAGAAAGGGGCUGUUUUUAGGUCUGGGUACUGUAAUUUGAUUUCAAUAGACCUUCUUCCCCUCUCAAUCCAUCCUUCACUCCUGAAGUGGAGCAGUCAACAAAUUUACCAUACCCCUAGUCUUGCUUUUUUUUUUUUUUUUUUUUUUUGGAAAAAGGAAGGCUAUUUUUAUUUACCGGAAUAUCCUUUUUGAAACAAACAAAACCCAUCCUUCCCUUUUCUAGAAUAAGGUAAUCACAGAAUCUUAACAAAGGUUGAAGCUCCUAAGCACAUUUUUGAGUGGGGGAGGGGGAAGCGUAGCUCCUAGUUUUUCCAACAGACUUCUCCUUAACCCAUCCCACUUACUCCAAUAAAAACAAAACCCACCCCCUCGUUCCUCUGCAAGGGGAAGCCAAUAAAUUUCCCAUUUCCAAAGGUUUUCUGAGAGGUGUUUUUAGAGGUCCCCUUCUCCCAUUUUCUCCCAAUAAAGAUAAAACCCACUCCUCACCGGGAAGAGGAGACGAGGAAAUAUAUUUCCUCUGUGCGGUAUUUUUCUCAAGGGGGAAGAGGAAAAGGGACCUUUUUCUCGCUCUCCCCCUCUCACAAAGUCAUCACCCACUCUGCUCCUGCCAGUAAUUUUAGCCCCCGUCCUUUUCUCUGAGGCGGUUUUUGGGGGGGGAGAGGAGGGAGUUGUUUGCUUUCUCACAGAGCACCCCUCAGAGCGCCUCCGCCACCGACCCUAAUUAAAACCCAGCCGACCCCUCGCUGCGGGGGUGGUGCAGUCAACAAUCUUCUCUGUCCCGAGUUGCCCUCUAAGGAGGGAUGCUUUUUUUUGGGGGGGAGUUGAAGGGACGCGCGCCCCCCCAGAGGCGGAGGAGCAGUUGGGCACUAGGGGGUUGGACACAGCUGGCGACAGAGGAGGCGAGAACGUGAGAGAAUAUGUGUGUGUGCGGGGGAGGGAGGGUGUUUAAGGAGGUGAGCGCACGAGGUCAGCCCCGCCCCCUCCCGAGGGGGAGGGAGGAAUGGAACUGAAUGCAGCCAGAAGGGAGGGGCCCCUUCCCCCCUCCCGGUAGACAGCUCCGGGGCUCGUGCUGCGGCGCGUGCGCGCUCCCUAGCUCCAGCCCGCAAGCGCGAGCCCUGGAGGCACCGGCUCUGCCCGUUCUUCUCCCCUACGUCGCCUUUCUUCUUUCCUUUUCUCUUUUCUCCACUCGCUCGGUUUCUA
ensembl:lncRNA